GAGACUGGAAGGCAGACUUGGCAGUGCGCUUUCCUUCUUCCCCAGUGUAUGAUACUCCUUUGUCCCUGAGGAACUGGAUGCAUUAGAAAGAACACUGAGCUAGGGGACUGGAAGUCUAGGUUCUAGCACAACACCUAUGAAAAACUAGCAGUGUGACCUUGGACCACUCACUCCACAUUUCUGGAUCUUCAUGUCCUCACCUAUUAAAUGUGGUUUUGGAAAGGAUUAUUUUCAAGUUACAUUCCAGCUUUCAGUUUCUAUGAAGUUCCGUAUUCUGUGAGUUGUUUGUUUCCAAUUUAAGAAGAUCAUUCUUAAUUCUGAUCGUUAUCUUCUAAGAUGCGAGUUCCACUUACUUAACCUCCCCCUCCAACCAGCCCUCAGUACCACCACUAGUUUCAAUCUAUGGCCCUAUGUUGAUCCGGAUAUUUCACUUCCCAAAGUUGCUGAGUGUUUUGUUUGUCUGAAUUGAAAAAAAAAAAGGAGAGAAUAUGGAAAGAAUCUUGACUCCCCUCUAUACCACUGAGAUCUGAACGACUUUACCUCACGGUAUGGGCAAGUCUAACCUCCUGAGAAGCCACUAGGAGGACAAUGCUGGUACCGCCACUUGAAGCACAAGGGCUGUGGAAAGACCAAGAGCUGCCGUCUCAAUUCAGGAGGAAUUAAGACAAAAGGAAAGAAGCCUAGAGACACUCUUCUCUACUUAGUAAUUCCUCUGGCUCCAGUAACACACAGGCGUCCAAUCUAGAAGCUCACAUGGUCCGCGCGGCAUUUCAGACUCACUCUUUAGAAGACGCCCUGCUAAUGCACACAGUGUGGAGGUGAGCCUGCAGCAUUAUAGUUGGUACUCGGCCUUGCUCUUGCUUUCCGGUUUACCUAAUGUCAAACUCAUCUUUUCAAGUUUUACUGUGACCAGACUUUGUUUAUGUUUGUUUUAUUUACUUUUUAAUUAUUAAUUUUGAAUUUUAUUUUGUGUGAGACCAAAAGGAAAGCCUUUCAUAACUGCCCCUUCCUUUAGGACUGGAGGAGCUAACAGGGUUGUGUUGCAACCAUGCUCAGUUGCUCUGAGGAGGGAGCUGGGGCAGAGAUAGCGCUUCAUACAUCUGGCAUUCUCACUUGCAUGGGCCAUUUGCAAAGUCUUGAGAGUGACCUUCGACCUUCGACCUUCCUAACGCAAGGAACUAAAGUAUUUGUCAGCUUUUAAAAAUCAUUGUAAUCUAUUGUCAUUUCUUUUUAUUUUAAAUAAACACUG
rnacentral:lncRNA from 1 species